UGCAUCGGCCAGGAAUCGAACCCGCGUGGCAGGCGAGCAUUCUACCACUGAACCUCCGAUGC
rnacentral:tRNA from 1 species